ACAAACUCUUCGGAGGGCGAUCUUGGGCGUCGAGUGGCGGACGGGUGAGUAACGCGUGGGAAUCUACCCUUUAGUUGGGGACAACAUAUGGAAACGUAUGCUAAUACCGAAUAUGCUCUACGGAGUAAAGGUGGCCUCUACUUGUAAGCUAUCGCUAAAGGAUGAGCCCGCGUUAGAUUAGCUAGUUGGUGGGGUAAAGGCCUACCAAGGCGACGAUCUAUAGCUGGUUUGAGAGGAUGAUCAGCCACACUGGGACUGAGACACGGCCCAGACUCCUACGGGAGGCAGCAGUGGGGAAUAUUGCACAAUGAGGGAAACCUUGAUGCAGCCAUGCCGCGUGUGUGAAGAAGGCCCGAGGGUUGUAAAGCACUUUCAAUUGUGAGGAAAGGUUAGUCGCUAAUAUCGGCUAGCUGUGACGUUAACUUUAGAAGAAGCACCGGCUAACUCUGUGCCAGCAGCCGCGGUAAUACAGAGGGUGCAAGCGUUAUUCGGAAUUACUGGGCGUAAAGCGCGCGUAGGCGGACUGUUAAGUCGGUUGUGAAAGCCCUGGGCUCAACCUAGGAAUUGCAUCCGAUACUGGCAAUCUAGAGUUUAGGAGA
rnacentral:rRNA from 1 species